rnacentral:rRNA from 1 species
CUCGUAGGCGGUUUGUCGCGUCUGCUGUGAAAUCCCCAGGCUCAACCUGGGGCGUGCAGUGGGUACGGGCGGGCUGGAGUGCGGUAGGGGAGACUGGAAUUCCCGGUGUAACGGUGGAAUGUGUAGAUAUCGGGAAGAACACCAAUGGCGAAGGCAGGUCUCUGGCCGUUACUGACGCUGAGGAGCGAAAGCGUGGGGAGCGAACA